rnacentral:rRNA from 1 species
CGAUGAAGAACGCAGCGAAAUGCGAUAAGUAAUGUGAAUUGCAGAAUUCAGUGAAUCAUCGAAUCUUUGAACGCACAUUGCGCCCCUUGGUAUUCCGAGGGGCAUGCCUGUUCGAGCGUCAUUUCAACCCUCAAGCUCUGCUUGGUGUUGGGCCCCGU